rnacentral:sRNA from 1 species
GCACGAUGAUCUUCUUCGCCGGGCGUC